GACGGAAGGUGCAAGCGUUGCUCGGAAUCACUGGGCGUAAAGGGUGCGUAGGCGGCCGUGCAAGUCUGGCGUGAAAGCCCCGGGCUCAGCCCGGGAAGUGCGCUCGAAACUGCGCGGCUCGAGUGCCGGAGGGGAGAGUGGAAUUCCUGGUGUAGCGGUGAAAUGCGCAGAUAUCAGGAAGAACACCGGUGGCGAAGGCGGCUCUCUGGGCCUUACCUGACGCUGAGGAGCGAAAGCGUGGGUAGCGAACAGG
rnacentral:rRNA from 1 species